rnacentral:ncRNA from 1 species
UAAGGUUUAUUGCUUCCUUUAAAGAGCAAUUGGUGCGGAUGGGACUCUCUCCCGCCUGGUUUCCAAUUUCCAGUUAAAGAAUUGGUGGCGAGCCUGAGU